rnacentral:rRNA from 1 species
UUAACCGUAUAGGGGAGCCGCAGGGAAACCGAGUCUUAACUGGGCGUUAAGUUGCAGGGUAUAGACCCGAAACCCGGUGAUCUAGCCAUGGGCAGGUUGAAGGUUGGGUAACACUAACUGGAGGACCGAACCGACUAAUGUUGAAAAAUUAGCGGAUGACUUGUGGCUGGGGGUGAAAGGCCAAUCAAACCGGGAGAUAGCUGGUUCUCCCCGAAAGCUAUUUAGGUAGCGCCUCGUGAAUUCAUCUUCGGGGGUAGAGCACUGUUUCGGCUAGGGGGUCAUCCCGACUUACCAACCCGAUG